rnacentral:rRNA from 1 species
CGGAGGGUGCGAGCGUUAAUCGGAAUUACUGGGCGUAAAGCGCAUGCAGGCGGUCUGUUAAGCAAGAUGUGAAAGCCCGGGGCUCAACCUCGGAACAGCAUUUUGAACUGGCAGACUAGAGUCUUGUAGAGGGGGUAGAAUUCAGGUGUAGCGGUGAAAUGCGUAGAGAUCUGAAGGAAUACCGGUGGCGAAGGCGGCCCCCUGGACAAAGACUGACGCUCAGAUGCGAAAGCGUGGGGGAGCAAACAGGAUU